UCCGUUAAUGCAUUUAGUCAUUAAUCGAAACCAGCAAAUUUAUGCAGUUGCAUUGGAACAGUUCUAGUUCAGCGCAAUCAGGAAAGCACAACACAAAGAAAAUCUAUUGAUCAUAAACAACGCAUGAUAAUUUCAAGGGGUUAAAUUGAUAAGAGCAGUUUGCCUCCGAUAAUUUUCACAAUAACGGCCAAGAUGUUAACCUUUGCCAGUUAUAUUAAUCUCAACAGCAUCGUCAGUAUACCACCUUCAUUGCUAGUGUAAAGUCUUUGUAGUAUUUGGUGGAAAUGAAAGGAAAUUUCAGUCUAAUCUUUUCAAUUCUUUUUAUCAUUCUCUGUGGAAUUUCAAACGGAGUUCCGACUAGCACCCUAGUGCCUACGACUCAAACACAAGAAGAUGGCGCUUCUUCUUUUUCAAACGGGACACAUAUUGAUUACUUACUUUUCAGGACUCAAAGAAGGUGUUUCAUCGGUCAUGAUGGCAGGUGUCGGAAAGUAAAUCGAGCCUGAUUGACUAGAUAUGCGUGAAGCUAGCAGGAAAUGCACCAGGCCCUAUGCGAUCUAUUGGCCUCCAGCGCUGCAAGUUUCGCCCUUUGCACCAUCCAUGUGUACAAAUAUUCUAAGGAAAGUGUCGUUGUUUGUUUAAGAAAAUAAAAUUAGCAGUAGAAUGUUC